rnacentral:ncRNA from 2 species
GUUGCCGGCCAGAGGUGCGGCCGCCAGCAGUAGCGUCGCGGAGGAACGAGCUUCCGCCGAAACGGCGCGAACGGGGCGACCGCCGAAGUCGCCGAUCCGACUCGGGAUCGGGGGCUGGUCCCAUGCCCGGAAGGGUUGCGGACUGUCGCGACGGGGGAGACCCCGACGCGAAGCGCUGCCGUGUGA